UACGGCCACAUCUCGUUGAAACACCAGUUUUUGUCCGAUCACCGAAGUUAAGCUACGUCGAGAUUGGUCAGUACCUCAAUGGGUAAUCGUUUAAGAAUACCAGGUGCUA